CUUAGCGGCGGACGGGUGAGUAAUGCUUAGGAAUCUGCCUAUUAGUGGGGGACAACAUCUCGAAAGGGAUGCUAAUACCGCAUACGUCCUACGGGAGAAAGCAGGGGAUCACUUGUGACCUUGCGCUAAUAGAUGAGCCUAAGUCGGAUUAGCUAGUUGGUGGGGUAAAGGCCUACCAAGGCGACGAUCUGUAGCGGGUCUGAGAGGAUGAUCCGCCACACUGGGACUGAGACACGGCCCAGACUCCUACGGGAGGCAGCAGUGGGGAAUAUUGGACAAUGGGGGGAACCCUGAUCCAGCCAUGCCGCGUGUGUGAAGAAGGCCUUAUGGUUGUAAAGCACUUUAAGCGAGGAGGAGGCUCUUUUGGUUAAUACCCAAGAUGAGUGGACGUUACUCGCAGAAUAAGCACCGGCUAACUCUGUGCCAGCAGCCGCGGUAAUACAGAGGGUGCAAGCGUUAAUCGGAUUUACUGGGCGUAAAGCGCGCGUAGGCGGGCCAAUUAAGUCAAAUGUGAAAUCCCCGAGCUUAACUUGGGAAUUGCAUUCGAUACUGGUUGGCUAGAGUGUGGGAGAGGAUGGUAGAAUUCCAGGUGUAGCGGUGAAAUGCGUAGAGAUCUGGAGGAAUACCGAUGGCGAAGGCAGCCAUCUGGCCUAACACUGACGCUGAGGUGCGAAAGCAUGGGGAGCAAACAGGAUUAGAUACCCUGGUAGUCCAUGCCGUAAACGAUGUCUACUAGCCGUUGGGGCCUUUGAGGCUUUAGUGGCGCAGCUAACGCGAUAAGUAGACCGCCUGGGGAGUACGGUCGCAAGACUAAAACUCAAAUGAAUUGACGGGGGCCCGCACAAGCGGUGGAGCAUGUGGUUUAAUUCGAUGCAACGCGAAGAACCUUACCUGGCCUUGACAUAGUAGAAACUUUCCAGAGAUGGAUUGGUGCCUUCGGGAAUCUACAUACAGGUGCUGCAUGGCUGUCGUCAGCUCGUGUCGUGAGAUGUUGGGUUAAGUCCCGCAACGAGCGCAACCCUUUUCCUUACUUGCCAGCAUUUCGGAUGGGAACUUUAAGGAUACUGCCAGUGACAAACUGGAGGAAGGCGGGGACGACGUCAAGUCAUCAUGGCCCUUACGGCCAGGGCUACACACGUGCUACAAUGGUCGGUACAAAGGGUUGCUACCUAGCGAUAGGAUGCUAAUCUCAAAAAGCCGAUCGUAGUCCGGAUUGGAGUCUGCAACUCGACUCCAUGAAGUCGGAAUCGCUAGUAAU
rnacentral:rRNA from 1 species